rnacentral:piRNA from 1 species
UAAAUCAAAGCGAUGCGUGAGAAUUUUCAG